AGGACGAACGCUGGCGGCGUGCUUAACACAUGCAAGUCGAGCGAACCUUCGGGUUAGCGGCGAACGGGUGAGUAACACGUGGGCAACCUGCCCCGAGCUCUGGGAUAACCCCGGGAAACCGGGGCUAAUACCGGAUAUGACCCGAGAAGACAUCUUCUCGGGUGGAAAGUUUUUCGGCUCGGGAUGGGCCCGCGGCCUAUCAGCUUGUUGGUGGGGUAACGGCCUACCAAGGCGACGACGGGUAGCCGGCCUGAGAGGGCGACCGGCCACACUGGGACUGAGACACGGCCCAGACUCCUACGGGAGGCAGCAGUGGGGAAUAUUGCGCAAUGGGCGAAAGCCUGACGCAGCGACGCCGCGUGAGGGAUGAAGGCCUUCGGGUUGUAAACCUCUUUCAGCAGGGACGAAGCGCAAGUGACGGUACCUGCAGAAGAAGCACCGGCCAACUACGUGCCAGCAGCCGC
rnacentral:rRNA from 1 species